rnacentral:lncRNA from 1 species
GGGUGUUGAAAAUGAAGAACCCAAAAACAGAAACAUCAAGCUUAAUAAAUAGAGAUAUGUUCCACAAAAAUAAUCUUUCAUUUAGCUGUUCAACAAAACCGCCAACUCUCUGCAUCUCCUUAAACACUUUAAGUCUUUAAACACUUGCUUGCUAGACUUUUCUCCUUCCUUUUCCAGUUUUCUGCAGAAUGACUUUCCCUCCUUCCGACGGCUAUAACUUCCUCUACAAAAUAGCUAUCAACGAUUUGUGAAAUGUUCUGGAAACUAGACUCUUCUAGCUUUCCGUUGAUAUAAGGCAAGUUUCCUGGAUCUCUCUGAGCUGCUCGCAAUUUGCCGUCGAAUUUGGCUGAAAAUCUGGGCAGAAUUCCAUAUUUCUUAAGGUUUCAUCUUUAAUGCGCAUCUAUUUGCAGCGUGUAGCGUCUCUUUCCUCAUAUUACUUGCUCAAGAACUUGAGAAGGUCAGCCCUCGCUAGCACAUCAAGGUCCACUGCGCUCUCAUCGAGCAAAAACACCAAAAUUCAUUCACAGACAUUUUCUCAAACACCUUGUGUGCAUAACCAAAUAACAUAACACAAAUUAAACAUCCUAAACAAACAUGCAUUUACAAUCUAAUCAAUAAAAGAUUCAUGACACAGCAUUCGAUUUCAUAAAUGAUAUACCCAGAAUACAAUAAAACCCAUGAAUUCAAGCUUCUUUUUCUAUUUCUAGUUUUAAUCACAUUAAAAAGAAAAAGCAAUCAAUUAAUAAAGAAGAGAGAAACAUAUUAGCUUACCUUGUAAGCUGAAGACGAUGAUCGAAAUUAAUCCGAAAAGCCAUGACAUAAGACAUUUAUUGAAGGAUGAAAGAAAAAUCAAAGCGGAUGAAAUCGUCAAUGACGACGGCGGAGAGCUCCGUCAUGUGCUUCUAGAUAUGUUCUCUCUGAACUCGCUUUGGUAACGGCAUCAAUCUCUUAGUGGAGGACGACGGGUUCGCCGGAGAGAGUGAUUCA